UACGGAGGGUGCAAACGUUGCUCGGAAUCAUUGGGCGUAAAGCGUGCGUAGGUGGUUUGUUAAGUCUGAUGUGAAAGCCCUGGGCUCAACCUGGGAAUUGCAUUGGAUACUGGCAGGCUAGAGUGCGGUAGAGGGUAGUGGAAUUCCCGGUGUAGCAGUGAAAUGCGUAGAGAUCGGGAGGAACAUCCGUGGCGAAGGCGACUACCUGGACCAGCACUGACACUGAGGCACGAAAGCGUGGGGAGCAAACAGG
rnacentral:rRNA from 1 species